rnacentral:rRNA from 1 species
AGAGUUUGAUCCUGGCUCAGAAUGAACGCUGGCGGCGUGCUUAACACAUGCAAGUCGCACGAGAAUUCUUCUGCUUGCAGAAGGUAGUAAAGUGGCGCACGGGUGAGUAAUGCGUGGGCAAUCUUCCCUUGAAUCAGGGAUAACAUCGCGAAAGCUUUGCUAAUACCGGAUGACAUCCAUUUGCCUGCGGGCGAAUGGAUCAAAGGUGGCCUCUACAUGUAAGCUACUGUUUGAGGAUGAGCCUGCGUACCAUUAGCUAGUUGGUGGGGUAACGGCCCACCAAGGCGACGAUGGUUAGCUGGUCUGAGAGGAUGAUCAGCCACACUGGAACUGACACACGGUCCAGACUCCUACGGGAGGCAGCAGUGAGGAAUUUUGCGCAAUGGGGGAAACCCUGACGCAGCAACGCCGCGUGAGUGAUGAAGGCCUUCGGGUCGUAAAGCUCUGUCAAGUGGGAAGAACCUGCAUUGGGUUAACAUCUCAGUGCACUGACGGUACCACUGAAGGAAGCACCGGCUAACUCCGUGCCAGCAGCCGCGGUAAUACGGAGGGUGCAAGCGUUAUUCGGAAUUACUGGGCGUAAAGCGCACGUAGGCCGCUUUGUAAGUCAGGGGUGAAAUCCCACGGCUCAACCGUGGAACUGCCUUUGAAACUGCAGAGCUUGAAUCCUGGAGAGGGUGGCGGAAUUCCUGGUGUAGGAGUGAAAUCCGUAGAUAUCANGAGGGACACCGGUGGCGAAAGCGGCCACCUGACAGGUAUUGACGCUGAGUGCGAAAGUGUGGGGAGCAAACAGGAUUAGAUACCCUGUAGUCCACACCGUAAACGAUGGAUACUAGUGUCGGGGACUUGAUCUUCGGUGCCGUAGCUAACGCGUUAAGUAUCCCGCCUGGGGAGUACGUCGCAAGGCUGAAACUCNANAAAUUGACCGGGGCCCGCACAAGCGGUGAGUAUGUGGNUNNAUCUAUGGNAACGCGA